rnacentral:rRNA from 1 species
UACAGAGGGUGCAAACGUUGCUCGGAAUCAUUGGGCGUAAAGCGCAUGUAGGCGGCACGGUAAGUCGACUGUGAAAGCCCUUGGCUCAACCAAGGAAGUGCAGUCGAAACUGCCGAGCUCGAGUUCUGAAGAGGGUCGCGGAAUGGCCAGUGUAGAGGUGAAAUUCGUAGAUAUUCGCAAGAACACCAGUGGCGAAGGCGGCUCACUGGCCCGGUACUGACGCUGAGGUGCGAAAGCGUGGGGAGCAAACAGG